AGAGUUUGAUCCUGGCUCAGGGCGAACGCUAGCGGCGCGCCUAACACAUGCAAGUCGUGCGGGAAAGGGCUUCGGCCCUAGUACCGCGGCAGACGGGUGAGUAACACGUGAGCAACCUGUCCCCGGGUCUGGGAUAACCACCCGAAAGGGUGGCUAAUACCGGAUAAAGUCACCGGGCGCAAGCUCGGUGAUGAAAGGGGGCCUCUGCAUAGCAAGCUCCUGCCUGGGGAGGGGCUCGCGGCCCAUCAGCUAGUUGGUGGGGUAAUGGCCCACCAAGGCUAUGACGGGUAGCCGGCCUGAGAGGGUGGUCGGCCACACGGGCACUGAGACACGGGCCCGACUCCUACGGGAGGCAGCAGUGGGGAAUCUUGGGCAAUGGGCGAAAGCCUGACCCAGCGACGCCGCGUGGGGGAAGAAGGCCUUCGGGUCGUAAACCCCUGUUCUGGGGGAAGAACCCUGAACGGGUUAAUAGCCCGUUCAGGCUGACGGUACCCCAGGAGAAAGCCACGGCUAACUGCGUGCCAGCAGCCGCGGUAAUACGCAGGUGGCGAGCGUUGCCCGGAAUCACUGGGCGUAAAGGGUGCGUAGGCGGCAGGGCAAGUCGCGGGUUAAAGCCCGGGGCUCAACCCCGGAAAGGCCUGCGAUACUGCCUUGCUUGAGGGCCGGAGAGGCUGGCGGAAUUCCCGGUGUAGGGGUGAAAUCCGUAGAUAUCGGGAGGAACACCGGUGGGGAAGCCGGCCAGCUGGACGGUUCCUGACGCUGAGGCACGAAAGCGUGGGGAGCAAACCGGAUUAGAUACCCGGGUAGUCCACGCCGUAAACGAUGGGUGCUAGGUCUGGGGAGGAAACUCUCUGGGCCGAAGCUAACGCGUUAAGCACCCCGCCUGGGGAGUACGGCCGCAAGGCUGAAACUCAAAGGAAUUGACGGGGGCCCGCACAAGCGGUGGAGCACGUGGUUUAAUUCGAUGCAAAGCGAAGAACCUUACCUGGGCUUGACAUGCCAGGGUUGUACCCCGGUGGAAACACUGGGGGAGCGUGGGUUUUUACUCACGCGCUCUGGCACAGGUGCUGCAUGGCUGUCGUCAGCUCGUGCCGUGAGGUGUUGGGUUAAGUCCCGCAACGAGCGCAACCC
rnacentral:rRNA from 1 species